rnacentral:misc_RNA from 1 species
UCCGGUUUGACACCGGCAGUCCCCUUAGAGUCCCCGGCAUAACCCGAUGGUAACUAAGGGCAAAGGUUUCGCUCGUUAAGGGACUUAACCCGACAUCUCACGACACGAGCUGACGACAGCCAUGCAGCACCUGUACCAGUUGUACCCCGAAGGGCCUACUCCGCUUUCACGGAGAUAAUCCUGGCAAGUCAAGCCCAGGUAAGGUUCUGCGCGUUGCUUCGAAUUGAACCACAUGCUCCACCGCUUGUGUGAGCCCCCGUCAAUUUCUUUGAGUUUUAACCUUGCGGCCGUACUUCCCAGGCGGCAUGUUUAACGCGUUAGCUGCGUUACAAGGGAUUUAACUCCC